CAAGUCGAACGCGAAAGUCCCCUUCGGGGGGCGAGUAGAGUGGCGCACGGGUGAGUAACACGUAGGUAAUCUACCUUUGGAUUGGGAAUAACAACCGGAAACGGUUGCUAAUACCGAAUAAUGCAGCGGCACCUAAUGGUGACAGUUGUUAAAGCGGGGGAUCGCAAGACCUCGCGUCUGAAGAGGAGCCUGCGGCAGAUUAGCUAGUUGGUAAGGUAACGGCUUACCAAGGCGAUGAUCUGUAGCCGGCCUGAGAGGGCGGUCGGCCACACUGACACUGACAUACGGGUCAGACUCCUACGGGAGGCAGCAGUCGGGAAUUUUGGGCAAUGGGCGAAAGCCUGACCCAGCAACGCCGCGUGAAGGAUGAAAUCCUUCGGGAUGUAAACUUCGCAAGAACGGGAAGAAUAAGUAAGAGUUAAUAUCUCUUAUGAUGACGGUACUGUUUGUAAGCUCCGGCUAACUCCGUGCCAGCAGCCGCGGUAAUACGGGGGGAGCAAGCGUUGUUCGGAUUUACUGGGCGUAAAGGGCGCGUAGGCGGCCACCGCAAGUCGACUGUGAAAUCUCCGGGCUUAACCCGGAAAGGUCAGCCGAAACUGCGGGGCUAGAGUGCAGAAGGGGCAACUGGAAUUCUCGGUGUAGCGGUGAAAUGCGUAGAUAUCGAGAGGAACACCUGCGGCGAAGGCGGGUUGCUGGGCUGACACUGACGCUGAAGCGCGAAAGCUAGGGGAGCGAACGGGAUUAGAUACCCCGGUAGUCCUAGCCUUAAACGAUGAAUGCUUGGUGUCUGGGGUUUUUAUAGUCCCCCGGGUGCCGUCGCUAACGCUUUAAGCAUUCCGCCUGGGGG
rnacentral:rRNA from 1 species